UACAUUACAUUCAACAGAGAUGUUUAGCAAGCUCAUAUGAAGCAUGCCCAUCAAGAGGUACACUGUUGAGCUAGCAGUAAUGUAAUGCAGAUUCCAUGAAUUCUCACUUUGAGGAGUAAUACCUAGGUUUGGCCAUUUUUGUGACUUAAAAUUAUUCCCUGCCACAUCUUAUCACAAAGUAACUUAUAAGAAGAAACUGUUGGCAUCUACAGCAAUUUAUUGAAGAUAUUGAGAAACUACAUGUCAAGACAAACAUUUUGGUAUAUUACAUGACAAGUUUUGUCCAAA